rnacentral:lncRNA from 1 species
ACUAUACUCAGUUUGUCUUAUAGGCAGCUAAUAUGGGCUAUUGGUGUUUUUAUUUUUAAAUGAAACUGAACAGUCCAUAGCAUUUUAAGCUCACAUGUCAAAUGCGUAGGGUACAAGAUUAGUAAUUUCACAUAAGUAAUGUAUAUCUGUCUUGUAUUGAUAUAUUGGAGAAUAUGAUUAUAUACUUGCUUUUUGCCAAAGCACUAUUUUUCUACUUAUAUCACUAACAGGGGUCGAUUAGAAAUGUGGAGAGGGCAGAGUGGUCCCUUGUGGGGAAUGUGUUUGUGUGUGUGUGAGGGGAUUAAUUUUUGAACUAAUUUAUUUCAAUCCCUGUCAGUUUUAGCCAAGAUCUGAUAAAGAAUUUUGUUGCUACCGUAGUUCUUAACAAUUACCUGUUACAAAAAGUGUAUAUAUAAUUUUCUUACUUCUUUAAACAUCCUUUUUUCUUAAAACAUUUUUUUAGAGAAAAUAGGUUCCUUGGGUAUCCUAUGCUUUCCUCCCCCCCCACCCCCUUCCCUUGAGUUAUUAAAAUAUGCUGUAUAGGACUAACUUG